UACAGAGGUCUCAAGCGUUGUUCGGAUUCAUUGGGCGUAAAGGGCGCGUAGGCGGUCAGCACAAGUCAGUUGUGAAAUCUCCGGGCUUAACUCGGAAAGGUCAACUGAUACUGUGCGACUAGAGUGCAGAAGGGGCAACUGGAAUUCUCGGUGUAGCGGUGAAAUGCGUAGAUAUCAGGAGGAACACCGAUGGCGAAGGCAGGUCUCUGGGCUGACACUGACGCUCAUGCAC
rnacentral:rRNA from 1 species